CACCAUGCCCCAUGCACCCCCGGAUCCAUCCAACUCCCCUCACUGAGCUCCGGGAACCAGCUUCUGUGGCAAGAGUUCCACCAGGUGCUGGUGGUUCAGCCUACAUCCCCCACACCUGGACGGAAACCAAGGGAGAGACCAGCAGGUCUGAACACCUCCAGGAAGCCUUCUGGGACUCCCCCACCUGCCUCAUCUUGAAGCACAGGAGAUUGUUGUUUCACAUGUUGAGGGCCUUCUGGAUGCCACACACUGCCGAGGCUCUGGGGAAUAUGGCAGUAAAGAAGGCAAAGGCCUGUCCUCAUGAAGUUGAUGUUCUAUGGAG
rnacentral:lncRNA from 1 species